AUUGAACGCUGGCGGAAUGCUUUACACAUGCAAGUCGAGCGGCAGCGCGGGGCAACCUGGCGGCGAGCGGCGAACGGGUGAGUAAUACAUCGGAACGUACCCAGUUGUGGGGGAUAGCCCGGCGAAAGCCGGAUUAAUACCGCAUACGACCUGAGGGUGAAAGGGGGGGAUCGCAAGACCUCUCGCAGUUGGAGCGGCCGAUGGCGGAUUAGCUAGUGGGUGGGGUAAAGGCCUACCAAGGCGACGAUCCGUAGCGGGUCUGAGAGGACGACCCGCCACACUGGAACUGAGACACGGUCCAGACUCCUACGGGAGGCAGCAGUGGGGAAUGUUGGACAAUGGGGGCAACCCUGAUCCAGCCAUUCCGCGUGAGUGAAGAAGGCCUUCGGGUUGUAAAGCUCUUUCGGCAGGAACGAAACGGUCUUUUCUAAUACAAGAGGCUAAUGACGGUACCUGAGGAAGAAGCACCGGCUAACUACGUGCCAGCAGCCGCGGUAAAAC
rnacentral:rRNA from 1 species